GUUUUGUUCCAUAAAGCGUUUUCGGACCCAUGUUAAGUCCCUCAUCCCGAUGAGGGACCACACUUGGGUCCGAGGACGUUUUAUGGAGUGGAACAGUUGCUUGCAUAUGGUGCUAUUUUUUGAGAACUCCUGUAUGACUUCCUGACUCCUGACUCCUUCAUGCAAAGGUCUGAAUCAGAAUUGUUAGCAUGGGACCCUAUGGAUGAGCUCUCAAGAAAGGCUAAUAGAAUCAUAGCAUCAAAAAAGUUUCCAAAAUGCUGGAAAGUUAGUAAAAUUGACUGCCCAAUGCCACCAUAUCUGUUCAGUUUUGUAAAGAUCCAUAAAACCCUAGUGAAGUUAAAGACUUAUGGAGGAUAAGAGAUCAUCAUCCCUUUAUAAUUUGGAAAAAGCUAUAGCAGUAUGGACUAACAAUAUUAUGAAAGGAUGCCAAUAUUCAAUUACAUCCUCCCAGGAGUUCAUAGAAAGACUUCUAGAAUCAGAAUCAAAGACUUUUUUGCCAGAUGAAACCAUAACGGUUAUUGAUUAUGAAUCUUUAUAUCUGUCAGUGGAAAUAGCACCAACGUGUCUUAUGAUGUACAGAUUUAUGAUUGAACACUUGGAUUAAACUGAGACAAAUACUAACAUUCUACAAGAUGUAUGUCACCUGAUAGUAUAUAAUUUGUAUUUUCUGUUUGAUAGGGAGUACUAUAAACGAAAGAUCUACUGGUAAGAAGCCCCUUGAUAGGGGUGAUGACAGAACUGGUUGUCAGAUAUAAGUAAUAGAGAAGUUUUGGAUAGUAUCAGGCUAUAUAUACAUUACAUUGAUGAUGUAUGUAUUAUAUGGAAGACAAAGCAUAGAAUAUUAAAAUUAUGCAUUCUCUAAUGGAUGAGAGCUUAGGUCUAUGCUUAAAAAUAGAACAAUUUGAAGAAGACACUUUCCAUUACUUAGACAUACAAGUAACCA
rnacentral:lncRNA from 1 species